rnacentral:rRNA from 1 species
GACGAACGCUGGCGGCGUGCUUAACACAUGCAAGUGGAGCGACGAACCGGGCUUCGGCCCGGGGCAAAGCCGCGAACGGGUGAGUAUCACGUGGGUAACCUGCCCCGAUGACCGGGAUAACCCGAGGAAACUCGGGCUAUCACCGGAUGUGCUCUCCAUCCACCAGGGUGGAGAACAAAGGAAGCUUCGGCCUCCGCAUUGGGAUGGGCCCGCGGCCCAUUAGCUUGUUGGUGAGGUAAAGGCUCACCAAGGCAACGAUGGGUAGCUGGUCUGAGAGGACGAUCAGCCACACUGGGACUGAGACACGGCCCAGACUCCUACGGGAGGCAGCAGUGGGGAAUCUUGCGCAAUGCGCGAAAGCGUGACGCAGCAACGCCGCGUGAGGGAAGAAGGCCUUCGGGUUGUAAACCUCUUUCAGGAGGGACGAAGGUUCAGGCGCGAACAGCGUCCUGGACUGACGGUACCUCCAGAAGAAGCCCCGGCUAACUACGUGCCAGCCGCCGCCGUAAAAC